GUAAGAACACCCACCUAAAAGGCCAGCUCUCUCAGAAAACAGCGGUAGGGAGAGGGCAUCGAGCUAAGACGUGAUGGGAGAGAAGCAGGAGGAGCUCUGGAUGAAGUGGCCUGAGUGAGAGAUUGCGAAAGACCUGAGGAUGCUGGAUACCAAAGGAAUCAACAGGGAAUUUAGACAAACACAUGUGUAACAAGAAAAAAAUAUUAAAUGGUAGCUCCAUUAUCGUGGGGCCCAAUCUCCCAAUUGCCCUGAGAGACUUUUAGACACUAUGUCCUGCUCUCAUAACCGAAGAAGAGACAUGGAUGAUAGUUCAAUAUUAUUUGGUUAGAAAGAAAUUAGCUGAUUUAGUCUCUUUCUCUGGUGCUUCUAUCAGGAAUUAAGUCAUCAGUACCAUCUUUACCCCUUCUGUCUAAUCUCUACUUCCAUAUACUUUGUGAUUUAUAAAUUUCCAUUUGGUGUCCACCAGUUAAGGUCACAGAAGUGAUGGGGAUGAUAUAAGGAAGGGAAUGAUGUUUAUCUAGGUAUCAGCAGAAAAGGGACUCCCUAAAGGGUGGCCACUUAAAAAGCUUUCUUGGAAAAAAGUCAGAUCCUCAUUAGAUCCUGAUAAGUGAAUGGACCAUGGGGACACACAACAUCCUCAAAGGAAUGACCCUUGGCUUUGUAUUUGUUGUAAUAAAGAGGUGUAAAGAGCAACACGUUUGAGUCAAAUGAUCUGCAUUUGAAUGUCAGCUGUACAAUUUAGCAGCUACUUAACUUGAACAUUUCUCGUUUGUACAAUAAUAAUAAUACUUUACCUAAAUUUCAGGGUUAUUGCAAAGAGCAAAGGAGAUAAUGGACAUGAAAAUACUUUGUAAAUUGCGAAGGUUAUUCUAGAGGUUCCCACUGGAGUUCUGGAUUCCCAGGAUACACAGCAACCAGCUGUAUGGGACUUUGGAAGAUAAUGGUCACCCUCUCCCCUUUGGCCUCCUCUUUCCUUUUCCACUCUAAACUACAGCUGUCUCAGGCAAUGACUACAGAUUCUGCUUUGGGAUUUAGAUUCGGAGGAAAAGGGAGGAGGGAGAAAUAAAAAGAUUAUGAAAUUCGGCCAAAAGAAUAAGAAAGGGUAAAAUCAGGGGAAAUUCACCUGUCUGAUGCAAAGUUAAACUGCUGGCUUUAAUGUGACUGCAUGGGAACUUGGGUUUAUUAAUGAAUACAACAUACCCUCUUUGAUUUGAAAGCUUUCACCCUGCUGAAAAGAUUCAAAAGGCAUCGCUUCCUGCACCAGCGGCAUUCCUUUAUCCGUCUCAGUGGUUCACCCCUACCCAGCUGCUAUAUCUCAUUAACAAGCAUUUGACCACUGCAGCCGGCCUGGGAGUGUUGACACUUGAAAGGCCCAGGCAG
rnacentral:lncRNA from 1 species